UACGUAGGGGGCUAGCGUUGUCCGGAAUCAUUGGGCGUAAAGAGCGCGUAGGCGGCCCGGUAAGUCUGCUGUAAAAGUCAAAGGCUUAACCUUUGAAAGUCAGUGGAUACUGCCGGGCUAGAGUCCGGAAGAGGCGAGUGGAACUCCUGGUGUAGCGGUGGAAUGCGCAGAUAUCAGGAGGAACACCAAUAGCGAAGGCAGCUCGCUGGGACGUUACUGACACUGAGGCGCGAAAGCGUGGGGAGCGAACAGG
rnacentral:rRNA from 1 species